UACGGAAGGCAGCAGUGGGGAAUAUUGCACAAUGGGCGCAAGCCUGAUGCAGCCAUGCCGCGUGUAUGAAGAAGGCCUUCGGGUUGUAAAGUACUUUCAGCGGGGAGGAAGGCGAUGUGGUUAAUAACCGCGUCGAUUGACGUUACCCGCAGAAGAAGCACCGGCUAACUCCGUGCCAGCAGCCGCGGUAAUACGGAGGGUGCAAGCGUUAAUCGGAAUUACUGGGCGUAAAGCGCACGCAGGCGGUCUGUUAAGUCAGAUGUGAAAUCCCCGGGCUUAACCUGGGAACUGCAUUUUGAACUGGCAGGCUUGAGUCUCGUAGAGGGGGUAGAAUUCCAGGUGUAGCGGUGAAAUGCGUAGAGAUCUGGAGGAAUACCGGUGGCGAAGGCGGCCCCUGGGACGAAGACUGACGCUCAGGGUGCGAAAGCGUGGGGAGCAAACAGGGAUUAGAUACC
rnacentral:rRNA from 1 species